CCUUUUUGUCCAACAAUCCACGUGUCGUCUUGUGAUUAUUUUUGUCUCCACAAAUGCCCCCACACCUGUUAGGCUGCUCGUAGAAAAGGGCAGCAGGUGUAGAGAUCUUCUUGCUUUAGGAAACUUAAGACUGCUUCCUAUUUUGAUGUAGAUUCUCUCUUUAAUAGGAAAUUAGAUCCUUCUAGGAAAGGGAAAAUAAAUUUCUCUCAAAGCCUAUUUAAGUCCACCUUAAGUGGGUUAUUAAAUCAACUUUGAAGAGCAAUUUAUUCUACCCUACAAGAGAGAUAGAGCAUAGAGGAUAUUUGUUCCCCCUGCUCUAUCAAUCUUCUACAUCUUGCCCAUGCAAAGGACCGUCUUUCGUUGCUUUCUUCGUCUGCUCCAUGCCGCACCGAUGUAAGAAAAAUUUAAUUUUUCUUGUCUUCUUCUUGGAUAGUGCUGUCACAGGUCAACCGUCGGGGUGGUGCAGCACGUCGGUUGGCAGGA
rnacentral:lncRNA from 1 species